AAUCAACGCUGGCGGCGUGCCUCAGACAUGCAAGUCGAACGCGAAAGUUCCCUUCGGGGAGCGAGUAGAGUGGCGCACGGGUGAGUAACACGUAGGUAAUCUACCCUCGAGUGGGGAAUAACUCAGGGAAACUUGAGCUAAUACCGCAUAAUGCAGCGGCACCACAUGGUGACAGUUGUUAAAGCAUUUAUGCGCUUGGGGAGGAGCCUGCGGCAGAUUAGCUAGUUGGUAAGGUAAUGGCUUACCAAGGCAACGAUCUGUAACCGGCCUGAGAGGGCGGACGGUCACACUGACACUGAAUAACGGGUCAGACUCCUACGGGAGGCAGCAGUC
rnacentral:rRNA from 1 species